rnacentral:rRNA from 1 species
UAGGGAAUCUUCCGCAAUGGACGCAAGUCUGACGGAGCAACGCCGCGUGAGUGAAGAAGGAUUUCGGUUCGUAAAACUCUGUUGUUAGAGAAGAACAGCGCAUAGAGUAACUGUUAUGCGUGUGACGGUAUCUAACCAGAAAGCCACGGCUAACUACGUGCCAGCAGCCGCGGUAAUACGUAGGUGGCAAGCGUUGUCCGGAUUUAUUGGGCGUAAAGCGAGCGCAGGCGGUCAAUUAAGUCUGAUGUGAAAGCCCCCGGCUCAACCGGGGAGGGUCAUUGGAAACUGGUUGACUUGAGUGCAGAAGAGGAGGGUGGAAUUCCAUGUGUAGCGGUGAAAUGCGUAGAUAUAUGGAGGAACACCAGUGGCGAAGGCGACUCUCUGGUCUGUAACUGACGCUGAGGCUCGAAAGCGUGGGUAGCAAACAGG